CCUUUGGAGCAUCAUAUCAAACCAAAGUAGCUUAGGCAAAAUGGGGUGUAUUGAAAAAGGAA
rnacentral:sRNA from 22 species